rnacentral:rRNA from 1 species
UGGGGAAUAUUGCGCAAUGGGCGAAAGCCUGACGCAGCAACGCCGCGUGGGGGAUGAAGGUUCUCGGAUUGUAAACCCCUUUCGACCGGAACGAAUUCCCUCCUGGUAAAUAAUCAGGAGGAUCGACGGUACCGGGAGAAGAAGCCACGGCUAACUCUGUGCCAGCAGCCGCGGUAAGACAGAGGUGGCGAGCGUUGUUCGGAUUUAUUGGGCGUAAAGCGAACGCAGGUGGUUUGGUAAGUCAGAGGUGAAAGACCACAGCUUAACUGUGGCACUGCCUUUGAUACUGCCUUUCUAGAGUGCAUGAAGGGGAAGCGGAAUUCCGAGUGUAGAGGUGAAAUUCGUAAAUAUUCGGAGGAACACCGGUGGCGAAGGCGGCUUCCUGGCAUGUAACUGACACUCAUGUUCAAAAGCGUGGGUAGCAAACAGGAUUAGAUACCCUGGUAGUCCACGCCCUAAACGAUGGGCACUAGGUGUGGGAGGUAUCGACCCCUUCCGUGCCGCAGCUAACGCAUUAAGUGCCCCGCCUGGGGAGUACGGCCGCGAGGUUG